rnacentral:rRNA from 1 species
GCCGGAGGCUACUGCUAUCGGGGUUCGAUUAAGCCAUGCGAGUUAAAUGUUCUUCGUGAACAUAGCGAACUGCUCAGUAACACGUGGAUAACCUACCCUUAGGACCGGAAUAACCCCGGGAAACUGGGGAUAAUACCGGAUAAGCCAUAGACGCUGGAAUGCCCUAUGGUUCAAAGCUCCGGCGCCUAAGGAUGGAUCUGCGGUCUAUCAGGUUGUAGUGGGUGUAACGUACCUACUAGCCGACGACGGAUACGGGUUGUGAGAGCAAGAGCCCGGAGAUGGAUUCUGAGACACGAAUCCAGGCCCUACGGGGUGCAGCAGGCGCGAACACUUUACAAUGCGGGAAACCGCGAUAAGGGAACCCCGAGUGCCAGCAUCAAAUGUUGGCUGUCCGGAUGAUUAAAAAUCAUUUGUUAGCAAGGGCCGGGCAAGACCGGUGCCAGCCGCCGCGGUAACACCGGCGGCCCGAGUGGUAGCCGUUUUUACUGGGUCUGAAGGGUCCGUAGCCGGCUUGAUAGGUCCUUUGGGAAAUCUGGCAGCUUAACUGUCAGGCUUCUAAGGGAUACUGUCAGGCUUGGGACCGGAAGAGGUAAGGGGUACUCCAGGGGUAGGAGUGAAAUCUUGUAAUCCCUGGGGGACCAUCUGUGGCGAAGGCGCCUUACCAGAACGGGUCCGACGGUGAGGGACGAAAGCUAGGGGAGCAAACCGGAUUAGAUACCCGGGUAGUCCUAGCUGUAAACGAUGCUCGCUAGGUGUCAGACACGGUGCGACCGUGUUUGGUGCCGCAGGGAAGCCGUUAAGCGAGCCACCUGGGAAGUACGGUCGCGAGGGUGAAACUUAAAGGAAUUGGCGGGGGAGCACUACAACGGGUGGAGCCUGCGGUUUAAUUGGAUUCAACGCCGGAAGACUCACCGGGUGCGACAGCAAUAUGUAGGUCAGGCUGAAGGUCUUACCUGAAUCGCUGAGAGGAGGUGCAUGGCCGUCCUCAGUUCGUACUGUGAAGCAUCCUGUUAAGU